UACGAAGGGGGCUAGCGUUGCUCGGAAUCACUGGGCGUAAAGGGUGCGUAGGCGGGUCCUUAAGUCAGAGGUGAAAUCCCAAGGCUCAACCUUGGAACUGCCUUUGAUACUGGGGAUCUUGAGUCCGGGAGAGGUGAGUGGAACUGCGAGUGUAGAGGUGAAAUUCGUAGAUAUUCGCAAGAACACCAGUGGCGAAGGCGGCUCACUGGCCCGGUACUGACGCUGAGGUGCGAAAGCGUGGGGAGCAAACAGG
rnacentral:rRNA from 1 species